UAGGGAAUCUUCCACAAUGGACGCAAGUCUGAUGGAGCAACGCCGCGUGAGUGAAGAAGGUCUUCGGAUCGUAAAGCUCUGUUGUUGGUGAAGAAGGAUAGAGGCAGUAACUGGUCUUUAUUUGACGGUAAUCAACCAGAAAGUCACGGCUAACUACGUGCCAGCAGCCGCGGUAAUACGUAGGUGGCAAGCGUUGUCCGGAUUUAUUGGGCGUAAAGCGAGCGCAGGCGGAAUGAUAAGUCUGAUGUGAAAGCCCACGGCUCAACCGUGGAACUGCAUCGGAAACUGUCAUUCUUGAGUGCAGAAGAGGAGAGUGGAACUCCAUGUGUAGCGGUGGAAUGCGUAGAUAUAUGGAAGAACACCAGUGGCGAAGGCGGCUCUCUGGUCUGCAACUGACGCUGAGGCUCGAAAGCAUGGGUAGCGAACAGGAUUAGAUACCCUGGUAGUCCAUGCCGUAAACGAUGAGCGCUAGGUGUUGGGGACUUUCCGGUCCUCAGUGCCGCAGCAAACGCAUUAAGCGCUCCGCCUGGGGAGUACGA
rnacentral:rRNA from 1 species